AAACCAACCGGGAUUGCCUUAGUAACGGCGAGUGAAGCGGCAAAAGCUCAAAUUUGAAAUCUGGCUCUAUUUUGGGGUCCGAAUUGUAAUUUGAAGAAGCGACUUUGGACCUGGCUCUUGUCUAUGUUCCUUGGAACAGGACGUCACAGAGGGUGAGAAUCCCGUGCGAUGAGAAGCCCAGGUUCGUGUAAAGCGUUUUCGACGAGUCGAGUUGUUUGGGAAUGCAGCUCUAAGUGGGUGGUAAAUUCCAUCUAAAGCUAAAUAUUGGCGAGAGACCGAUAGCGAACAAGUACAGUGAUGGAAAGAUGAAAAGAACUUUGAAAAGAGAGUGAAAAAGUACGUGAAAUUGUUGAAAGGGAAGGGCUUGAGAUCAGACUUUGUUUUUCCAUGGCGCUCUUUCGGGGGUGUCCUCUGGGUCUACAGGGCCAGCAUGGGUUUUGCGGGCGAGACAAGGACUCAGGAAUGUGGCUCUGCUUCGGUGGAGUGUUAUAGCCUGGGGUACUGGUCGCCAUGCGGGACCGAGGACUGCGGUACUAGGAUGCUGGCAUAAU
rnacentral:rRNA from 1 species